CCGGCACUGUUAUCGUUCACGGCCCGGACGUGAUCCCCGGCCCCGUGAACAGCUCUUAACAUCCCUUCACCCUCACGGGUUCCGGGCAGGAUUUGUCCCCUUGGGUUAUCGUCAAACGCAUCCUUCCCCAAGUGGAUUUGGCCCAAAUUUCCCUUGGGAAAUUAGGUCGCCUCCCCCACUGCUCGAACCCUUGACCUCCCACUUUAAGGGAAUAGUCUGGUGAGAGUGAGUACCAAUUGUUCCAAU
rnacentral:lncRNA from 1 species